UGAACGCUGGCGGCAUGCCUUACACAUGCAAGUCGAACGGCAGCACGGGUGCUUGCACCUGGUGGCGAGUGGCGAACGGGUGAGUAAUACAUCGGAACAUGUCCUGUAGUGGGGGAUAGCCCGGCGAAAGCCGGAUUAAUACCGCAUACGAUCUACGGAUGAAAGCGGGGGACCUUCGGGCCUCGCGCUAUAGGGUUGGCCGAUGGCUGAUUAGCUAGUUGGUGGGGUAAAGGCCUACCAAGGCGACGAUCAGUAGCUGGUCUGAGAGGACGACCAGCCACACUGGGACUGAGACACGGCCCAGACUCCUACGGGAGGCAGCAGUGGGGAAUUUUGGACAAUGGGCGAAAGCCUGAUCCAGCAAUGCCGCGUGUGUGAAGAAGGCCUUCGGGUUGUAAAGCACUUUUGUCCGGAAAGAAAUCCUUGGCUCUAAUACAGUCGGGGGAUGACGGUACCGGAAGAAUAAGCACCGGCUAACUACGUGCCAGCAGCCGCGGUAAUACGUAGGGUGCGAGCGUUAAUCGGAAUUACUGGGCGUAAAGCGUGCGCAGGCGGUUUGCUAAGACCGAUGUGAAAUCCCCGGGCUCAACCUGGGAACUGCAUUGGUGACUGGCAGGCUAGAGUAUGGCAGAGGGGGUAGAAUUCCACGUGUAGCAGUGAAAUGCGUAGAGAUGUGGAGGAAUACCGAUGGCGAAGGCAGCCCCCUGGGCCAAUACUGACGCUCAUGCACGAAAGCGUGGGGGAGCAAACAGGAUUAGAUACCCUGGUAGUCCACGCCCUAAACGAUGUCAACUAGUUGUUGGGGAUUCAUUUCCUUAGUAACGUAGCUAACGCGUGAAGUUGACCGCCUGGGGAGUACGGUCGCAAGAUUAAAACUCAAAGGAAUUGACGGGGACCCGCACAAGCGGUGGAUGAUGUGGAUUAAUUCGAUGCAACGCGAAAAACCUUACCUACCCUUGACAUGGUCGGAAUCCCGCUGAGAGGUGGGAGUGCUCGAAAGAGAACCGGCGCACAGGUGCUGCAUGGCUGUCGUCAGCUCGUGUCGUGAGAUGUUGGGUUAAGUCCCGCAACGAGCGCAACCCUUGUCCUUAGUUGCUACGCAAGAGCACUCUAAGGAGACUGCCGGUGACAAACCGGAGGAAGGUGGGGAUGACGUCAAGUCCUCAUGGCCCUUAUGGGUAGGGCUUCACACGUCAUACAAUGGUCGGAACAGAGGGUUGCCAACCCGCGAGGGGGAGCUAAUCCCAGAAAACCGAUCGUAGUCCGGAUUGCACUCUGCAACUCGAGUGCAUGAAGCUGGAAUCGCUAGUAAUCGCGGAUCAGCAUGCCGCGGUGAAUACGUUCCCGGGUCUUGUACACACCGCC
rnacentral:rRNA from 1 species